GUAACGGGGCUAAGUUAUAAACCGAAGCUGUGGAGAUGCGUAAGCGACUGGGCGGAGAGCGAUCUGUAGGCCGUUGCAGGAGAAUCGACAAGAGACUCUGGCGGUAUCAGAAGUGAGAAUGCAGGAAUAAGUAGCGAGAAUGGGGGCGAAAAUACCACACGCGGGAAGACCAAGGGUUCCAGGGUACAGUUUGUCUCCCCUGGGUCAGCCGGGUCCUAAGCCGAGGCUAGAUUGCGUAGGCGACUGGAAAACAGAUUAAUAUUUCUGUGCCACUGAUAUCAAGUGAUGGCGGGACGCAGGAGGUUAUGUACGCUGGCGAACGGAAGUGCCAGUUCACGCAUGUAGCGUGGUCUAGUAGGAAAAUCCGCAAUACUACACGUGAGGUGUGAUGAGGAGUCGUAAGAUGGAAGGUGCAAAUACCACACUGCCGAGAACAGCUUCUAAGCG
rnacentral:rRNA from 1 species